UAUAUAAAAUAAAAUUGUCUAGCUAAUGACAAUAGAGCCUCAAAGAUGAUUCCUUUGCCCAUUUUCGAAAAAACAAUUGAUUUCCUUGAUUCAAAACAACUGGCCUCAGCAACAUUAUGAAACUCAACAUGAUAGGGACUGUCAUCAUCAGGAAAAAAUUAACUCAACAUGUGUUUCAAAGUAGCUAAUUGCUGAAGGAAUAAAUCACACCAUUCAUGCAGAACCUUUACUGUAACCAGCAGAUCUGAUUAAACUAGAACAUGAACAUUAGGGAUAACUGAGGUAAAUAACAAUAGAACAAAGACACAUCAUCACAUCUCCAACUAUGCUUCCAUCCAGCUUAAUUCAG
rnacentral:lncRNA from 1 species